ACGGCGAGUGACCGGGAAGAGCUCAAAUUUGAAAUCUGGCGUCCUCAGGGCGUCCGAGUUGUAAUCUAUAGAGGCGUUUUCCGUGCCGGACCGUGUCCAAGUUCCUUGGAACAGGAUAUCAAAGAGGGUGACAAUCCCGUACUUGACACGACGACCGGUGCUCUGUGAUACGUCUUCUACGAGUCGAGUUGUUUGGGAAUGCAGCUCAAAAUGGGUGGUGAGUUCCAUCUAAAGCUAAAUAUUGGCGAGAGACCGAUAGCGAACAAGUACCGUGAGGGAAAGAUGAAAAGCACUUUGGAAAGAGAGUUAAACAGUACGUGAAAUUGUUGAAAGGGAAACGAUUGAAGUCAGUCGUGACCGAGAGGCUCAGCCGGUUCUGCCGGUGUAUUCCCCUCGGUCGGGUCAACAUCAGUUUUGUCCGGUGGAUAAGGGCGGUAGGAAGGUGGCACCCUCGGGUGUGUUAUAGCCUGCCGUCGCAUACAUCGGGUGAGACUGAGGAACGCAGCUCGCCUUUAUGGCCGGGGUUCGCCCACGUCCGAGCUUAGGAUGUUGACAUAAUGGCUUUAAACGACCCGUCUUG
rnacentral:rRNA from 1 species